CGCCAUUCUCUUCAGAUCUACUACCUGUGGACGCUAACGCCGCUCACCGCCUAUGCUGUCAACUCCUCCGCUGCCGCCGCCGCCAUUCUCUUCAGAUCUGUUGCGAACUGCCGGACGUCGACACUACUCACAGCCAUUGCCGUCGUCUCCAUCGCCGACGCCGCUCCUCCACCAUUGCCGUCGUCUGAUAAGUUCCUUUUUUUUUGUUUAAAUUUUGUAUUUCAUUUAUUUAUUUUUAUUUAUUUAUUUCGAAUAUUAGUGUAUUUAUUUGGAAUAUUAUUAGUGUAUUUGAUUUAUUUCCUUUUAUUUGUAAUUUAUUUUGAAUACUAUGUGUCUAUGGCUAUUGUUCUAUAUUUGGAUUUUGUUGAAUAUUAGUGUUUGAUUUUUUUUUUAAAUUGAAUUUUAUUCUAAUUUUGAAUAUUUAUUGUGAAUUUUCAAAAUUUUAAAAUUUUAUUAUUAUUGUGAAUACUAUGGCUAUCGACGCAGUGUGUUUGUAUAUAGAUAUAUUGAGAUAUGUAUGUUGUGAAUAAUAUGGUUAUUGUGAAUAAUAUGGCUACUGAACUCAGUUUUGGUUUAUUUCCUGUGUGUUAACCUGCCUUUGUAAUUUGUGACAACCACAUAUAUCCUAGGAGUUGUUUGUGUAUAUCCUCAGAGAAUUUUAAAUUUGCACACAACAAGAAUUUGGGAUUUUCUGCAAGUAAAAUCUCAUUUGAAGAAUGGAAUACUAAGAAGGGCUCAUUUUGGAGUUGCUUCUAUAAUUGGUGUCAUAGAUUCUGGUUAGUAUGUAAUGGUGCCCAUGGUUGUUAACAUUUACAUUGCAGUUUGGCUUAUUAUUAUUAUUCAAUUUUUGCUUAGUGCAGAGAUAUGGCCUGAAUAUGAAAGCUUUAAUGAUGAUGGAUUUCAUAGUGUUCCAUCCUAUUGGAAGAGAAUGUGCCAAGAAGGAGAAGAAUUUAAUAGUUCCAACUGUAGCAGAUUUGCAGCUUCCAGAUGAUAUAGAGUGGAGUUUCAUUGGGAAUUUAUAGAGAAA